UUAAAGGAAAAAAAAGAAAAAAGGUGCUAUUUAUUAGGAUGUGACUUGCUACCAACUGACUUUGAUUCGUGUUGACACAGUCUGGGGUCCUUCAGCUAAAACCAAGCACAGCCCUGCUUACCCCGCUCUGAACCGCCACGGGACGCGGUCGCACAGCCAGGGGCUGGGUGCUCACACUCAAACCACCCCACACCCACCUGCAAGGGGUACCCUGUUGGGGCUGUGAAGGAACAGCAGCUGCAGAGGGGACCAGCUGUGCAGCGAGGCACAUGGCCAGCAUGGCCAGCGUGCUGGUAGCCGCCAGCACACCGUGUGCCAUAGGUUUCCUGUGUGACUGCAGACAAGUUAAAAAAAAUGUUGCCAUGGCAACAGUGCACCCUGUGAGAGCAAGGAGUAGUUCUUGCAGAGGCUACACACGUUAUCUUCCCCACCACAAGGUUCACUUGCAGGAGCAGCAGCGAAGUGUGACAAUCUGAUCUAGGCAAUUACUCCUCCUCCAUCUAGCCACCAUUCUCCCCAAUUAGUCCUCUGAGUAACACAUUUGAAACCUUUAGCUCUUUGGUACUGGCAGUUUCAACGUGGCCAUUGCCAGCAAUGGAUACCAUGCCAAGAAAAUCCGACUCCUGGCUUGAAAGGAUUAAACAGUCCUCUGUUGCCAUCUGUGCCGUGAAGCUGGUGAGUGACUUUGUGCACCCAGAGCGUUAACGUUCGUUCUGCACAGCGACAGUAACUUGUAUUUACACUGCUACCUCACAGACCUCCUACUCUUCCCACUGCCUUAAAGAAACGCUUUUGGAAAAAGGCAGGCAGGCGGCUGCAGGCUGCUGGUCAGUGCCUGCUGGGCCCAGUAACUCAGUGGUUAGAAGAGGCAGACACAGACACAGCAGCAAGGUGUCCAGCAGUCACUACCAUUGUUCCCAGUCUUGACCAGAACGUCUCAUAUAGCAGUUGACAUCACUAGAGUACUAUUGUUUUGCAGGCUACAAAGUGAUCAAAUGGAAGUAAAUGUAAUAAAAAAAACUCCAGAACACCAACACACCAAAUAAACAACAGAAACUCCACACCAUUCACCAAGAAGAAGCUGCCUUGUGUAAAUCCAAACACGUGAAACUACAGCCUCUAACAGCACAAUGCAACAGUUCUAGCAGGAAAGAAGAAACAAACUUAUUUCUUCCCACAGGGAAAUAACUAAACUGUUUAAAGAACAAUACAGCAGUUUAGAAAUGAAACAACACACCAAAAAAUGAAAUAAAGUGAUUUCUU